rnacentral:rRNA from 1 species
GUAAACGGCGGCCGUAACUAUAACGGUCCUAAGGUAGCGAAAUUCCUUGUCGGGUAAGUUCCGACCCGCACGAAAGGCGUAAUGAUUUGGGCACUGUCUCAACGAGAGACUCGGUGAAAUUAUAGUACCCGUGAAGAUGCGGGUUACCCGCGACAGGACGGAAAGACCCCAUGGAGCUUUACUGUAGCUUGAUAUUGAGUGUUGGUACCGCUUGUACAGGAUAGGUAGGAGCCGUAGAGAUCGGAACGCUAGUUUCGAUGGAGGCAUUGGUGGGAUACUACCCUAGCUGUAUGAACACUCUAACCCGCGCCACUAAUCGUGGCGGGAGACAGUGUCAGGUAGGCAGUUUGACUGGGGCGGUCGCCUCCUAAAAUGUAACGGAGGCGCCCAAAGGUUCCCUCAGAAUGGUUGGAAAUCAUUCGCAGAGUGUAAAGGUAGAAGGGAGCUUGACUGCGAGACUGACAAGUCGAGCAGGGACGAAAGUCGGGCUUAGUGAUCCGGUGGUUCCGUAUGGAAGGGCCAUCGCUCAACGGAUAAAAGCUACCCUGGGGAUAACAGGCUUAUCUCCCCCAAGAGUCCACAUCGACGGGGAGGUUUGGCACCUCGAUGUCGGCUCAUCGCAUCCUGGGGCUGUAGUCGGUCCCAAGGGUUGGGCUGUUCGCCCAUUAAAGCGGUACGCGAGCUGGGUUCAGAACGUCGUGAGACAGUUCGGUCCCUAUCCGUCGCGGGCGCAGGAAAUUUGAGAGGAGCUGUCCUUAGUACGAGAGGACCGGGAUGGACGUUCCGCUGGUGUACCAGUUGUGCCGCCAGGCGCAUCGCUGGGUAGCUAUGAACGGAAGGGAUAAACGCUGAAAGCAUCUAAGUGUGAAGCCCCCCUCGAGAUGAGAUUUCCCAUUCCUAUAUGGAAGUAAGACCCCUGAAAGAUGAUCAGGUAGAUAGGCUGGAAGUGGAAGUGCAGCGAUGCAUGGAGCGGACCAGUACUAAUCGGUCGAGGACUUAACCAA